rnacentral:rRNA from 1 species
CCUACGGGAGGCAGCAGUGAGGAAUAUUGGUCAAUGGACGAGAGUCUGAACCAGCCAAGUAGCGUGAAGGAUGACUGCCCUAUGGGUUGUAAACUUCUUUUAUAUGGGAAUAAACUGUUCCACGUGUGGGAUUUUGUAUGUACCAUAUGAAUAAGGAUCGGCUAAAUCCGUGCCAGCAGCCGCGGUAAUACGGAGGAUCCGAGCGUUAUCCGGAUUUAUUGGGUUUAAAGGGAGCGUAGGUGGAUUGUUAAGUCAGUUGUGAAAGUUUGCGGCUCAACCGUAAAAUUGCAGUUGAAACUGGCAGUCUUGAGUACAGUAGAGGUGGGCGGAAUUCGUGGUGUAGCGGUGAAAUGCUUAGAUAUCACGAAGAACUCCGAUUGCGAAGGCAGUUCACUGGACUGCAACUGACACUGAGGCUCGAAAGUGUGGGUAUCAAACAGGAUUAGAUACCCGAGUAGUC